UGCAUACAGAACGUUAUCUUAAGUGUUCUUAUGAUCAAACACAAAUAUUUAGUCGCAACGUAAGUCAUAUGAAAAAGGUUUAUCAUAAAAGGAUUGAACUGGCUAUUCGCAUAUCUAAAAUUUGUGACAUAUAGAUCUUGAUACUCUAAGGAAGGAAAGACAGUUAAAAUUGAAUAUUUCCAUAAUUUCCUUACAAACAACUUGUGUUUCCGAUAACCGAAUGGGGCAUGUGGUUUCAAGUCGUCAUAAGGAAAACUCUCAAGAACUGACACCGAAGCUGAAAAACAUUGAAGUAAACGAAGUCAGAAGAAAGGCAAAAGAACCUUCAUUUUUUGAUGCCGAUGAUGUUGAUGUCCCAUUUGAUAAAGGGGCGCCUAAGGUA